rnacentral:misc_RNA from 1 species
AGAAGAUCAUCAUCAUCGGAAAAGUAUGCUCCUUGAUUUAUGGAAUGAAUACUGCAAUGGUGGAUGGAGUUUUCAAAUGUUUAAAAUACCAUUUCGGUUUUGAAUUCAAAUAAGAUCUAAAAGAGUUAGAUAUUUCGUUCUACUUGGGGCAUAAAUGCUAUGCACUCCAUCUUUAGCGUGGUUUGUCUCAAUUAAUUUACCCUUGAUCUCUGCAGGAAGGAAGGGCUCUGAAAUUACUU